CGCGACAAUGACACAGGUAAACAGGUAUACUAACGAAGCCACUGCUCCAGACACACGUGAAUCUGAGAUACUCAAGAUGCAGUUCUCCUUUAGCCUGUUUGUUUUCCUCGUCCUGUUGGUUCUGGCUGUGACUAUGUUCACCUCAUCAGAAGCCUAUAGAUACUGGUGGAAACCCAGACGAUACUGGAAUCCUUAUGGCUCAUAUGACAACUCAUGGAGCUAUGGCGAUUAAAAUUCGUAAUGCAACCUGGCCUUCUGUGUGAGCGGCAUCCUGUUUUUAUUAGCGCUAGCUUCUUGUGUAAACGGUGUUUCAUUUUGUGGUUUUCCUG